rnacentral:rRNA from 1 species
CACGUAGGGGGCAAGCGUUGUCCGGAUUUAUUGGGCGUAAGGAGCUCGUAGGCGGUUCGGUAAGUCGGGUGUGAAACCUCCAGGCUCAACCUGGAGAUGCCACCUGAUACUGCUGUGACUCGAGUCCGGUAGGGGAGCGUGGAAUUCCUGGUGUAGCGGUGAAAUGCGCAGAUAUCAGGAGGAACACCAGCGGCGAAGGCGGCGCUCUGGGCCGGAACUGACGCUGAGGAGCGAAAGCGUGGGUAGCAAACAGG